CACUGUUACAAUAAUCAUACAUGAGCUUUAGGGACACACAUGAAUCCUCUUCAUAAGAACAUUUAUGUAUAAACAUUAAAAAAAAUGACACGUUUAAGGCCCUUUUGUGGCUUGAAAUCAUAGCAUGCACAGCAAAAUCUCCUGUAACUGGCUCAACACAUCAUUUACCUUGUUCACUCAGUCCAUCUGGACUCAUAUUACACCAAGUGCUAAUUCAGAGCAUGGGCUUUAAACGUGUUGUUGUUGUUGUUUAAUCUAUUGCACAAUCGUAUGCAUGUAUAAAACGCACACCCAAGUCCGCUGACAAGACUUUUCUAAGCAAAUCCGUGUAAGCUACUCAAAGCCACUUAAUCCUCAUGAAUAUAGUAAUGCAUAGGCAGAGGGAAAGUGUCAUUUAUAUUUUGUAUGCUGGAUUACACACGUGAAGUGUCAUCGUUGCCAGAAAGAAUGAGUGCACGCACAUGGAAAUGAACAGAAGGUGACAUUUUACACUGCGUCGCUAUGAAAAAGUCACUAAUCAACAGACUUAAUCAUCUUCUGCCUCUAUUGUGUCACUGUAGCCAGUGUGUGUGCCAAGUUCACACAGUGGAGAAAAAGAGGGCAACUUUGCUAAUGGCUGGCAGGGAUUGCAUCAUUCAAAACCACCCCCACCCCCAAGGCAGCUGCUCCAUUCACACACACAUACACAAAAGCCAUGUGAACGUGCAGCACUGGCUGACUGACUCACACACACACACACACACACACACGUCAAAUAGUCUGACGAGUUCUGCCAACAAAAUAUGGCACUCCACCUAAAAGCCUCCACGACGUUUGGUUUUGAUAUCACUUCUAUUUCAAACUGCCUGGAUGUGAUUAAGCUAUUAAUAUCCUGCACUGUGACUGACUGUAAUCAAAUCGGUUUUUAAGAAGCACUGGUCUUGGCCUGAAAGUUUUCCAUGCAGAGUUGUAAUUUUAUAAUGGCUGGGAAUUCAGCAAAUUGAUGCCAAAUUCUAGACUGACAAACCAGCUUGAUAAGAGAGCAGUCUGGCUCGGUUUAAUGAUAGAAAUUGACCCUGUAAUCUUGAUCUCCUGGGCCUUUGUUGAUGCUUCUCCCUCCUGCUUGUGGGAACACGUCGUCCUUUUUCCAAGAGGCG